rnacentral:misc_RNA from 1 species
CGUAGGUGAACCUGCGGAAGGAUCAUUAGUGAAUUGAAUAUGUUAGCGGACCUCUUCGGAGUCCCUAGCAUCAAAUCAUAUCCAUAACACCUGUGAACUGUAAGGCUGUCUUGAAAACGAAAGUGAUUAGAGCGCCUGCCCAUUUUAUACAAACAUUAAAGUAACAAACGUAGUCUUAUUAUAAUCUAAUAAAACUUUCAACAACGGAUCUCUUGGCUCUCGCAUCGAUGAAGAACGCGGC